AAGUCGUAACAAGGUUUCCGUAGGUGAACCUGCGGAAGGAUCAUUAACACAUAACUUCUAUAUCAACAUAUGUGCAUAGCAAAGAACCUACUGAGGGGAGCGUCAUUAGGCAAUGGUUGGUUUCCGUCAACGACGGGAAGGCCUAGUGGCUACCACACACAUUUCCGAACUUCGGUAAGGGAGUGUGAGGUGAAGCGUACAUCUACCCGGUAAGGAAUACAGUCUCUACCAUGGCUGGAACCAUUUUUUUUUUACUUGAAUUACGGUUCAAUCGCGGGUUGAUUUCAGAUUGAGAGGGGUUCUCCCCUUUCUCUGGUUGAUUCGUAUGGCUGGAGCAAUCCAAGUCCAUAAACAAAACACAACUCUUAACAGCGGAUAUCUUGGUUCUCC
rnacentral:misc_RNA from 1 species